rnacentral:rRNA from 1 species
AACGCUGGCGGCGUGCCUAAUACAUGCAAGUCGAGCGGACCAAAGGGAGCUUGCUCCUGGAGGUCAGCGGCGAACGGGUGAGUAACACGUGGGCAACCUGCCUGUAAGACUGGGAUAACAUCGAGAAAUCGGUGCUAAUACCGGAUAAUAAAAAGAACUGCAUGGUUCUUUUUUGAAAGAUGGUUUCGGCUAUCACUUACAGAUGGGCCCGCGGCGCAUUAGCUAGUUGGUGAGGUAACGGCUCACCAAGGCGACGAUGCGUAGCCGACCUGAGAGGGUGAUCGGCCACACUGGGACUGAGACACGGCCCAGACUCCUACGGGAGGCUGCAGUCGAGAAUCUUCCGCAAUGGGCGAAAGCCUGACGGGGCGACGCCGCGUGAACGAAGAAGGUUUUCGGAUCGUAAAACUCUGUUGUCAGAGAAGAACAAGUUGGAGAGUAACUGCUCCAGCCUUGACGGUAUCUGACCAGAAAGCCACGGCUAACUACGUG